UACGAAGGGGGCUAGCGUUGCUCGGAAUCACUGGGCGUAAAGCGCACGUAGGCGGAUCGUUAAGUCAGGGGUGAAAUCCUGGAGCUCAACUCCAGAACUGCCUUUGAUACUGGCGACCUUGAGUUCGGGGAGAGGUGAGUGGAACUGCGAGUGUAGAGGUGAAAUUCGUAGAUAUUCGCAAGAACACCAGUGGCGAAGGCGGCUCACUGGCCCGAUACUGACGCUGAGGUGCGAAAGCGUGGGGAGCAAACAGGAU
rnacentral:rRNA from 1 species